rnacentral:snoRNA from 1 species
AUAUUUAUCAUAUUAGAAAUCAAAACUUCUGGGCCUCUCAUAGUGUCCCAUGCUAGAGCAAACUGUGGCCCCGAACCAUUGCCUGGCCUGUGCCAGUAGGCUGCUGGCACUGAAGUGGGUUGCACAGUG